AUGGGAUUGUCUGUCCUGUGUCUGCCCUGUGUCUGUGCUGUGUCUGUGCUGUGUCUGUCCUGUGUCCGUGCUGUGUCCUGUGUCCUGUGUCUGUGCUGUGUCCUGUGUCUGCCCUGUGUCUGUGCUGUGUCCUGUGUCUGUGCUGUGUCUGUCCUGUGUCCUAUGUCCUGUGUCCUGUGUCUGUCCUGUGUCCUGUGUCUGUGCUGUGUCCUGUGUCCUGUGUCUGUGCUGUGUCCUGUGUCCUGUGUCUGUGCUGUGUCUAUCGUGUUUCUGUCCUGUGUCUGUGCUGUGUCUGUCCUGUGUCUGUGCUGUGUCUGUCCUGUGUCUGGACUGUGUCUCUGCUGUGUCUGUGCUGUGUCUGUCCUGUGUCUGUUCUGUGUGUGUGCUGUGUCUGUCCUGUGUCCUGUGUGUGUCCUGUGUCCUGUGUCUCUGCUGUGUCUGUCCUGUGUCCUGUAUCUGUCCUGUGUCCUGUGUCUGUCCUGUGUCUGUGCUGUGUCUGUCCUGUGUCCUGUGUCUGUCCUGUGUCCUGUGUCUUGUGUCCUGUGUCUGUCCUGUGUCCUAUGUCUGUCCUGUGUCUGUCCUGUGUCCUGUGUCUGUCCUGUGUCUGUGCUGUGUCUGUCCUGUGUCCUGUGUCUGUCCUGUGUCCUGUGUCUGUGCUGUGUCUGUCCUGUGUCCUGUGUCUGUCCUGUGUCUGUCCUGUGUCCUGUGUCUGUGCUGUGUCUGUCCUGUGUCUGUGCUGUGUCUGUCCUGUGUCUGUCCUGUGUCUGUGCUGUGUCUGUCCUGUGUCUGUGCUGUGUCUGUCCUGUGUCUGUGCUGUGUCUGUCCUGUGUCUGUGCUGUGUCUGUGCUGUGUCUGUCCUGUGUCUGUGCUGUGUCUGUGCUGUGUCUGUGCUGUGUCUGUGCUGUGUCUGUCCUGUGUCUGUCCUACUGUGGUUGUUUUGGCAGCACAUGUUUGUUUGGUUUUGCACAUUCACUGCUGGAGAAAAAUUCUGCCUCAGAAUGA
rnacentral:lncRNA from 1 species